UGCAGUCGACGGCAGCAUAGGUGCUUGCACCUGAUGGCGAGUGGCGAACGGGUGAGUAAUGCAUCGGAACGUGCCCAAUCGUGGGGGAUAACGCAGCGAAAGCUGUGCUAAUACCGCAUACGAUCUACGGAUGAAAGCGGGGGGACCUUCGGGCCUCGCGCGAAUGGAGCGGCCGAUGUUAGAUUAGGUAGUUGGUGGGGUAAAGGCUCACCAAGCCGACGAUCUAUAGCUGGUCUGAGAGGACGACCAGCCACACUGGAACUGAGACACGGUCCAGACUCCUACGGGAGGCAGCAGUGGGGAAUUUUGGACAAUGGGCGAAAGCCUGAUCCAGCAAUACCGCGUGCAGGAAGAAGGCCUUCGGGUUGUAAACUGCUUUUGUACGGAACGAAAAGGCUCUUUCUAAUAAAGAGGGCUCAUGACGGUACCGUAAGAAUAAGCACCGGCUAACUACGUGCCAGCAGCCGCGGUAAUACGUAGGGUGCGAGCGUUAAUCGGAAUUACUGGGCGUAAAGCGUGCGCAGGCGGUUUUGUAAGACAGGCGUGAAAUCCCCGGGCUCAACCUGGGAAUUGCGCUUGUGACUGC
rnacentral:rRNA from 1 species